rnacentral:sRNA from 1 species
UGAUAGCUAAAAUUAUUCUCUUGGCUGGC